CAGGCUUAACACAUGCAAGUCGAGGGGCAGCAUUUUAGUUUGCUUGCAAACUAAAGAUGGCGACCGGCGCACGGGUGAGUAACACGUAUCCAACCUGCCGAUAACUCGGGGAUAGCCUUUCGAAAGAAAGAUUAAUAUCCGAUGGUAUAUUAAAACCGCAUGGUUUUACUAUUAAAGAAUUUCGGUUAUCGAUGGGGAUGCGCUCCAUUAGUUUGUUGGCGGGGUAACGGCCCACCAAGACUACGAUGGAUAGGGGUUCUGAGAGGAAGGUCCCCCACAUUGGAACUGAGACACGGUCCAAACUCCUACGGGAGGCAGCAGUGAGGAAUAUUGGUCAAUGGACGAGAGUCUGAACCAGCCAAGUAGCGUGAAGGAUGACUGCCCUAUGGGUUGUAAACUUCUUUUAUAUGGGAAUAAAGUAUUCCACGUGUGGGAUUUUGUAUGUACCAUAUGAAUAAGGAUCGGCUAACUCCGUGCCAGCAGCCGCGGUAAUACGGAGGAUCCGAGCGUUAUCCGGAUUUAUUGGGUUUAAAGGGAGCGUAGGUGGAUUGUUAAGUCAGUUGUGAAAGUUUGCGGCUCAACCGUAAAAUUGCAGUUGAAACUGGCAGUCUUGAGUACAGUAGAGGUGGGCGGAAUUCGUGGUGUAGCGGUGAAAUGCUUAGAUAUCACGAAGAA
rnacentral:rRNA from 1 species